rnacentral:rRNA from 1 species
UACGUAGGGUGCGAGCGUUAAUCGGAAUUACUGGGCGUAAAGCGUGCGCAGGCGGCGCGUUAAGACAGGUGUGAAAGCCCCGAGCUUAACUUGGGAAUUGCGCUUGUGACUGGCGUGCUGGAGUGUGGCAGAGGGAGGUGGAAUUCCACGUGUAGCAGUGAAAUGCGUAGAGAUGUGGAGGAACACCGAUGGCGAAGGCAGCCUCCUGGGCCAGCACUGACGCUCAUGCCACGAAAGCGUGGGGAGCAAACAGG